CGCCGGCGAGUGGCGAACGGGUGAGUAAUGCAUCGGAACGUACCCAGUAGUGGGGGAUAACUUACCGAAAGGUAAGCUAAUACCGCAUACGCACUGAGGUGGAAAGCAGGGGACCGCAAGGCCUUGCGCUAUUGGAGCGGCCGAUGUCGGAUUAGCUAGUUGGUGGGGUAAAGGCCUACCAAGGCGACGAUCCGUAGCGGGUCUGAGAGGAUGAUCCGCCACACUGGAACUGAGACACGGUCCAGACUCCUACGGGAGGCAGCAGUGGGGAAUUUUGGACAAUGGGCGCAAGCCUGAUCCAGCCAUGCCGCGUGAGUGAAGAAGGCCUUCGGGUUGUAAAGCUCUUUCGGCCGGGAAGAAAUCGUGGUGGCGAAUACCUGCCAUGGAUGACGGUACCGGACUAAGAAGCACCGGCUAACUACGUGCCAGCAGCCGCGGUAAUACGUAGGGUGCGAGCGUUAAUCGGAAUUACUGGGCGUAAAGCGUGCGCAGGCGGUUGUGUAAGACAGGCGUGAAAUCCCCGGGCUCAACCUGGGAACCGCGCUUGUGACUGCACGGCUAGAGUACGGCAGAGGGGGGUGGAAUUCCACGUGUAGCAGUGAAAUGCGUAGAGAUGUGGAGGAACACCGAUGGCGAAGGCAGCCCCCUGGGUCGAUACUGACGCUCAUGCACGAAAGCGUGGGGAGCAAACAGGAUUAGAUACCCUGGUAGUCCACGCCCUAAACGAUGUCGACUAGUUGUUGGAGGGGUAAAACCCUUUAGUAACGUAGCUAACGCGUGAAGUCGACCGCCUGGGGAGU
rnacentral:rRNA from 1 species